AGUGAACGCUGGCGGUAGGCCUAACACAUGCAAGUCGAACGACAGCACAGUAAGAGCUUGCUCUUACGGGUGUCGAGUGGCGGACGGUUGAGGAAUACAUCGGAAUCUACUUUUUCGUGGGGGAUAACGUAGGGAAACUUACGCGAAUACCGCAUACGACGUACGGGUGUGAGCAGGGGAUCUUCGGACCUUGCGCGAGUGAAUGAGCCGAUGUCGGAUUAGCUAGUUGGCGGGGUAAAGGCCCACCAAGGCGACGAUGGGUAGCUGGUCUGAGAGGAUGGUCAGACACACUGGAACUGAGACACGGCACAGACUCCUACGGGAGGAAGCAGUCGGGAAUAUUGGACAAUGGGGGCAAGCCUGAUCCAGCAAUACCGCGUGGGUGAAGAAGGCCUUCGGGUUGUAAAGUCCUUUUGUUGGGAAAGAAAAGCAGCAGGUUAAUACCCCGCUGUUAUGACGGUACCCAAAGAAUAAGCACCGGCUAACUUCGUG
rnacentral:rRNA from 1 species